rnacentral:misc_RNA from 1 species
AAGUCGUAACAAGGUUUCCGUAGGUGAACCUGCGGAAGGAUCAUUAAAGAGACGUUGCCCUUCGGGGUAUACCUCCCACCCUUUGUUUAUACAUACCUUUGUUGCUUUGGCAGGCCCGGCUUCGGCCCACCGGCUCCGGCUGGUCCGCGUCUGCCAGAGGAAACCCAAACUCUGUUUGUUAAUAUUGUCUGAGUACUAUAUAAUAGUUAAAACUUUCAACAACGGAUCUCUUGGUUCUG